rnacentral:rRNA from 1 species
GCAUAACGUCGCAAGACCAAAGAGGGGGGACCGUUCGGGCCUCUUGCCAUCGGAUGUGCCCAGAUGGGAUUAGCUAGUAGGUGGGGUAACGGCUCACCUAGGCGACGAUCCCUAGCUGGUCUGAGAGGAUGACCAGCCACACUGGAACUGAGACACGGUCCAGACUCCUACGGGAGGCAGCAUG